rnacentral:rRNA from 1 species
UACGAAGGGGGCUAGCGUUGUUCGGAUUAACUGGGCGUAAAGCGCGCGUAGGCGGGUUUUUAAGUCAGGGGUGAAAUCCCAAGGCUCAACCUUGGAACUGCCUUUGAUACUGGAAAUCUUGAGUCCGGGAGAGGUGAGUGGAACUGCGAGUGUAGAGGUGAAAUUCGUAGAUAUUCGCAAGAACACCAGUGGCGAAGGCGGCUCACUGGCCCGGUACUGACGCUGAGGUGCGAAAUCGUGGGGAGCAAACAGG